GCGCGGAUGGUGGAAUUGGUAGACACGAGAGACUUAAAAUCUCUUGACCAUUACGGUCGUGCGGGUUCAAGUCCCGCUCUGCGCACCA
rnacentral:tRNA from 1 species